UACGGAGGAUGCGAGCGUUAUCCGGAUUUAUUGGGUUUAAAGGGUGCGUAGGCGGGUUAUCAAGUCAGCGGUAAAAUCGUGGAGCUCAACUCCAUCCAGCCGUUGAAACUGGGGGCCUUGAGUGCGGCGGAGGCAUGCGGAAUGCGCGGUGUAGCGGUGAAAUGCAUAGAUAUCACGCAGAACUCCGAUUGCGAAGGCAGCGUACCGGCGCCCAACUGACGCUGAAGCACGAAGGCGUGGGUAUCGAACAGG
rnacentral:rRNA from 1 species